GGUCCAUGAUGUUCAUGUAAAAGGUCUGAAUCUCAGAUCCCCCUCGUCAGCCAUUUUGGCUCCCAGCAGCCCCUCUGUGCUCCCAUCAUGCUCUAGUGUUGCAGUGAUGUUCUGGGGGGCUGCUGACAGACAGGAUGUGACAUCACAGUGUGAGUGUGUGCAGAGACCCUACAGACUCUUUGACUGACAUCCCACAGAACCAAUGCGAGUGGAGUGUGAGGCUGAGGAGGUGGGGCCUGAGUGCUGAUCUCCCUCUUCUCCUGAGACC